UGGGGAAUAUUGGACAAUGGGCGAAAGCCUGAUCCAGCAAUACCGCGUGAGUGAUGAAGGUCUUCGGAUUGUAAAGCUCUUUUAGUAGGGAAGAUAAUGACGGUACCUACAGAAAAAGCACCGGCAAACUUCGUGCCAGCAGCCGCGGUAAUACGAAGGGUGCUAGCGUUGUUCGGAAUCACUGGGCGUAAAGCGUUCGUAGGCGGUUUAGUAAGUCAAUUGUGAAAGCCCCAGGCUUAACUUGGGAACUGCAAUUGAUACUGCUUUUCUAGAAUAUGGUGGGGGAUAGUGGAAUUCCUAGUGUAGGGGUGAAAUCCGUAGAUAUUAGGAGGAAUACCGGUGGCGAAAGCGACUAUCUAUGCCAUUAUUGACGCUAAGGAACGAAAGCGUGGGGAGCAAA
rnacentral:rRNA from 1 species